AUUGAACGCUGGCGGCAUGCCUUACACAUGCAAGUCGAACGGCAGCACGGGUGCUUGCACCUGGUGGCGAGUGGCGAACGGGUGAGUAAUACAUCGGAACAUGUCCUGUAGUGGGGGAUAGCCCGGCGAAAGCCGGAUUAAUACCGCAUACGAUCUACGGAUGAAAGCGGGGGACCUUCGGGCCUCGCGCUAUAGGGUUGGCCGAUGGCUGAUUAGCUAGUUGGUGGGGUAAAGGCCUACCAAGGCGACGAUCAGUAUCUGGUCUGAGAGGACGACCAGCCACACUGGGACUGAGACACGGCCCAGACUCCUACGGGAGGCAGCAGUGGGGAAUUGUGGACAAUGGGCGAAAGCCUGAUCCAGCAAUGCCGCGUGUGUGAAGAAGGCGUUCGGGUUGUAAAGCACUUUUGUCCGGUAAGAAAUCCUUGGCCCUAAUACGGUCGGGGGAUGACGGUACCGGAAGAAUAAGCACCGGCUAACUACGUG
rnacentral:rRNA from 1 species